AGCGGCGGACGGGUGAGUAACGCGUGGGUAACCGUACCUCAUACAGGGGGAUAACAGUUGGAAACGGCUGCUAAUACCGCAUAAGCGCACAGUACCGCAUGGUACCGUGUGAAAAACUCCGGUGGUAUGAGAUGGACCCGCGUCUGAUUAGCUAGUUGGUGGGGUAACGGCCUACCAAGGCGACGAUCAGUAGCCGACCUGAGAGGGUGACCGGCCACAUUGGGACUGAGACACGGCCCAA
rnacentral:rRNA from 1 species